CCCUUAGAUGUUCUGGGCCGCACGCGCACUACACUGAUGCAUUCAACGAGUUUCUUCCUGGUCCGAGAGGAAUGGGUAACCUUUUGAAAGUGCAUCGUGAUAGGGAUAGACUAUUGCAAUUAUUGGUCUUCAACGAGGAAUUCCUAGUAGACGUAGUUCAUCAGACUGCAUCGAUUACGUCCCUGCCCUUUGUACACACCGCCCGUCGCUCCUACCGAUUGAAUGCUCAGGUGAGCCAUUCGGACUUUCAUCAUGCUGGUUUCCAGUUUUGAUGAAGGAAAGUCUUGCGAACCUUAUCAUUUAGAGGAAGGAGAAGUCGUAACA
rnacentral:rRNA from 1 species